rnacentral:rRNA from 1 species
CUUGCUACUUUGCUGACGAGCGGCGGACGGGUGAGUAAUGCUUGGGAACAUGCCUUGAGGUGGGGGACAACAGUUGGAAACGACUGCUAAUACCGCAUAAUGUCUACGGACCAAAGGGGGCUUCGGCUCUCGCCUUUAGAUUGGCCCAAGUGGGAUUAGCUAGUUGGUGAGGUAAUGGCUCACCAAGGCGACGAUCCCUAGCUGGUUUGAGAGGAUGAUCAGCCACACUGGGACUGAGACACGGCCCAGACUCCUACGGGAGGCAGCAGUGGGGAAUAUUGCACAAUGGGCGCAAGCCUGAUGCAGCCAUGCCGCGUGUGUGAAGAAGGCCUUCGGGUUGUAAAGCACUUUCAGUCAGGAGGAAAGGUUAGUGGUUAAUACCCGUUAGCUGUGACGUUACUGACAGAAGAAGCACCGGCUAACUCCGUGCCAGCAGCCGCGGUAAUACGGAGGGUGCGAGCGUUAAUCGGAAUUACUGGGCGUAAAGCGUACGCAGGCGGUUUGUUAAGCGAGAUGUGAAAGCCCCGGGCUCAACCUGGGAACUGCAUUUCGAACUGGCAAACUAGAGUGUGAUAGAGGGUGGUAGAAUUUCAGGUGUAGCGGUGAAAUGCGUAGAGAUCUGAAGGAAUACCGAUGGCGAAGGCAGCCACCUGGGUCAACACUGACGCUCAUGUACGAAAGCGUGGGGAGCAAACGGGAUUAGAUACCCCGGUAGUCCACGCCGUAAACGAUGUCUACUAGAAGCUCGGAGCCUCGGUUCUGUUUUUCAAAGCUAACGCAUUAAGUAGACCGCCUGGGGAGUACGGCCGCAAGGUUAAAACUCAAAUGAAUUGACGGGGGCCCGCACAAGCGGUGGAGCAUGUGGUUUAAUUCGAUGCAACGCGAAGAACCUUACCUACACUUGACAUACAGAGAACUUACCAGAGAUGGUUUGGUGCCUUCGGGAACUCUGAUACAGGUG